rnacentral:rRNA from 1 species
UAUGUGAUCGUCUCUCGCAUAUCAAUAAGCGGAGGAAAAGAAACUAACAAGGAUUCCCCUAGUAACGGCGAGUGAAGCGGGAAGAGCUCAAAUUUGAAAUCUUAAAGGGUUUCCCUUUACGAAUUGUAGUUUAAAGAAGUGUUUUCUGUUGAGGUUUUGGUAAAAGUUCUUUGGAAUAGGACAUCAUAGAGGGUGAGAAUCCCGUAUUUGACCUUUACUUUCAACUUUGUGAUACACUUCAAAGAGUCGGAUUGUUUGGGAAUGCAGUCCAAAAUGGGUGGUAAAUUUCAUCUAAAGCUAAAUAUUGGCGAGAGACCGAUAGCGAACAAGUACCGUGAGGGAAAGAUGAAAAGAACUUCGAAAAGAGAGUUAAACAGUACGUGAAAUUGUCAAAAGGGAAGCGUUUGACACCAGUGUUGUUUUUCUGAAAAUCAAUUAAAGAACUGUUUAUGCUAAGUUGUUUAGACUUUAUCAGCUAACUGUUUAGUUUUGAGCUUUUCUUUAAUGCACUUUUCAGUUAGCCAAGUCAACAUCAAUUUCUUUUGCUGUAAAAAAGCUUGAGGAAGGUGGCUUGAGAUUCGUCUUAAGUGUUUAUAGCCUCUUGCCUAUGCAGUCGGAGAGAUUGAGGUCUGCAGCGUAGAUCCUUCGGGGCUAAAUGCAUUUGUGCUAAGUUAUAACAUUUUAUAGACAACUUGUUGACUAUGAUUUGUCUUGUAGCUUACUCGCUUAUGUUAUUUUACCUACGCUUAGGAUGUUGAAGUCAUCGUAUCGCGC